GCAAGUCGCACGCUCACUUCGGUGAGAGUGGCGAAAGGGUGAGUAACGCGUGAGUGAUCUGCCCCCAAGUCCGGAAUAACUAUUGGAAACGAUAGCUAAUACGGGAUGUGGUUACAUAGUUGCAUGAUUUUGUAACUAAAGGUUUACUGCUUGGGGAUGAGCUCGCGUCCCAUUAUGCUUGUUGGUAAGGUAACGGCUUACCAAGGCUAUGACGGGUAGGUGGUCUGAGAGGAUGGUC
rnacentral:rRNA from 1 species